rnacentral:lncRNA from 1 species
AUAGAAGGCAGUUUAGAGAAAAGGGCAGGCUUUGGAGUAGGAGGAGCUCAGAGUUGUAUUAUAACCUUGGCUUCUUUACUCACCUAGGACAUACACUCUCUCUUUAGCUGUAGCUUUCUCCCCUCUGAGAUGGAAAUUAUAAGCCAUCUCACAGUGUUGUGAGGAUUGGAGCUCAAGUGUGUAAAAUGCCUCCUCUGUGGGCUCUCCUUGGAGAGUUCUUGUAUCCUAUUGAUUGUCAUCAAAGGCAAAAAGUGGCAGGAUGAUGGCAUAAGUGGGAAGAACCUUGAGUUUAAUAGUCUGAAAAAGUGGUUACAGGUUCUUGCUGUGCUUUUCCUCUCUGUGGUUUUCUGAACCCAUCGCCUAACCUGAAGCCUUAAACUUCAUCUGCAAAAAUGUUUUGUGGCAGGUGACUCUGAAGCAGAACUCUUGAGAUGGAAGGAUUGUCAUCUGAGGAAAAAAAAUCAAGAUUAAGAGAGGAGGAACUAGAAUGAGAUUCACAUACCGUCUCUCCUCCAAGGGAAGGAGAGAGUGGUGAUGCCUGCCCACUCCUUCCUGGGCAGAACAUUUGUAGCAUGGAACAUUGGAGAAUUUGCAGUCUGCUGACUUUCUGAUUUAGGAGGUUGAUGGGGAGGCCUUAUAAUUUGCAUUUCUAACAAGUUCUGAGGUGAUGCUUCAAGUAUGUCCAGGCAGAAGGGCCGCCUCACAGAGAAUUCUGCCAUACCACGUGGGAAUUGAAGUCACAGACAUCUCUAACCCUCAAGCCUGAAACCAAAAGACUGAAAACCAACACUACAGUAGACAAAGAACAUCUCUGAACUUGUGUGGGGACCAGUGACACAAGGACCUAAGGUCUCUCUCUUCUCAUCUUGGCACUUCAGAAGUCUCCCCAGUCUUGACAAAGCCCUGGAGAAAGGGCCGGGCCUCCCGUUGAUAAGAAUAUCACUGCAGAUAAAUGGAGGUUUCAAAUUGAAAGAAAGGAGGAGGGCCUCCUGUUGAUAAGAUUAUUGCCACUGCAGGUAAAUGGAGGCUUCAAAUAGAAAUACAUUUCAGUUACAGAAAAAAAAAUUAUCUUUGUUACACAUUUGAGUUUGCAGGCCUAA